UUUCAUCUCUGACUCUCAAAAUUGUUACUAGAAUAAGAGUUGAUGAAUAUAAAGUUAGUGGUGCACAGUGAAUGAUAUUAAAUUGCAGCAAUUUUUGUUUUAUCUAUAGAACAUUCCCACAUGCCUCCUCGGCUUUCAUCUUCAUCAUGAGGUAGCUGGAUGGGUAUCGUGUACAUUUCACAGUCUCUGCUGCCUUGGUGCCCAAGUAAAGAGGGUGUCAACACCCAACAUGCUCCCCACUUACUCCCACUUCACCUUGGUUGGUUGGCUCAGACUUGGCUUUCAUGGCAGGUCUGCCCCUGCAGGCUUGUGUGCACCUUCCACACUUAGAUACCUCUACUACCUGAAAACCAGCAUGCAGCAUGUACAUCAAGAGUACCAGGCACAUAGUGCUCAAGUCUGGGCUAAUAUGCCACCUGCAGAGAGAUGUAAAGAUGAAGAAGACAAAGCCAUGUUUUCAAAGUGAUCACAAUCUGGUAAUGAGGACAGAACUUUUCUGUUUUACAUCCUUAAGUCUUUGGCUAGAAGAAAAUACACAUUGCAGGGUCUAUGUAAGACACCCAGGAAGCUAUCUUGACUUUUAGCUAAAUUUGUUAACCCUCCCUUGAUGCAUUUCAGAAUUUAGAGUCAUAUUCAUUCAUGUAACAAAUAUUUAUUGAGUAGCUAUGAUAGGCCAGACACCGUGCCAGGUGUGGGGGUUACACAGUCAACAGAAGAAGAACAAAAACAAGCAUGGCCCUGCUCUUAUUUAGCACAAGAGACAUACAAACAAAUAAUCGCAUAUACAAACCUCCUAAUAAUUAAUACAUAAUGCCUAAUAUAGUAUGUAGACAUUUUAAAUAAAGUUAUAAAUUGUGAUAAACACCAUGAAGGAAAAGAACCGGUGUUAGGAGAAAGGAAGGGCUCCUGGGCUCCUGAAUGGGAGCUUCAUGAAAUGAGUGGCUAAAUUCCACGUUUGUUUUUUCUUUUCUUUUCUUUUCUUUUUCUUUUUUUUUUCCAGACAGGAUAUCGCUCUGUCACUCAGGCUGGAAUGUAGCUCACUGCAGCCUCGACCUCCUCAGCUCAAGCCAUCCUCCCACCUCAGCCUCUGGAGUAGCUGGGACUACAGGCAUACACCACCACACCCACCUAAUUUUUGAAUUUUUCAUAGAGAUGGGGUUUCACCAUGUUGCCCAGGCUGGUCUUGAACUCCUGGGUUCAAGCCAUUCACCUGCCUCAGCCUCCCAAAGUGCUGAGAUUAUAGGGUGAGCCACCAUGCCCCGCCUUUUCUGAUCAUUUUCUAUGCUUUGGGGCUUACAUAUCAUGGGGAUUUUCUGUUUCCUAAAAAUUUGAAAGAACUCAUCUUUCAGAAGCAUUGAACUGAUUUAUGGUUCCAUCUGCCCCUUUCCACAUCUCACAACUCUGAAUAUUAUAAUUUUUUAGUCAUUACCAACUGGAGAGGCAAAAAUAAUAGUAAUCACAAUUUUAUUUUUCACUGUAUUCAACAAUAUGCAUUUAACAAAUACUGAGUGUCAAUGCACUAUAUGUUAGGGAUAAAAUCAUGACCAAAACCAACAUGGUACCUGCUUUCAUGGGACAUUGAAGUUGGUGGCCAUUUCUUUCAUUUAUUUUAGAGUUAAAACAUUUUCUUGGCUGGAUGUGGUGGCUCACGCCUGUAAUCCCAGUACUUUGGGAGGCUGAGGUGGGCGGAUUACCUGCAGUCAGGAGUUCCAGACCAGCCUCGCCAACAUGGCAAAACCCCAUCUCUACUAAAAAUACAAAAAUUAGCGGGUGCCUGUAAUCCCAGCUAUUCAGGAGCCUGAGGCAGUAGAAUCUCUUGAACCCAGGAGGCAGAGGUUGCAGUGAGCCGAGAUCACACCAUUGCACUCCAGCCUGGCCAACAAGACCAAAACUCUGACUCAAAAAAAAAAAAAAAAAUUUCUUCGCAAGUUUUAUAAACUGGGUGCUCCAAUGUUGGGUACAUAUAUACUUAGGAUAGUUAAAUCUCAUUGAAUUGAACCCUUUAUAAUUAUGUAAUGUCCUUCUUUGUCCUUUUGUUAUGGUGACUAGUUUGAAGUGUGUUUUGUCUGAUACAACAAUAAUGACCUCUUCUAUUUUUUGUUUUCCUUUUGCUUGGUACAUCUUUCUCCAUCUCUUUACUUUGAGCCUGUAGGUGUCACUACAUGUGAGAUGGAUGUCUUAAAAACAGCAGAAGAUUGGGUUUUUUUUUUUUUAUUAUUCAAUUUGCCACUGUAUGUCUUUUUAAAUGGAGCAAUUAGGCCAUUUACGUUCAAGGCUAAUAUUGAUAUGUGUGGUUUUGUUCUUGUCGUAGUGUGGUUAGUUACUUUGUAGUCUCAAUUGUGUAGUUGCUUAAUAGGGUCUGUGGGCUUUGUAUUUACUUGUGCUUUUGUUAUAGCAAGUAUUGUUCUUUCAUUUCCAUGUUUAGAACUCCCUUGAGCAUAUUGGCUAUUCAUUGCUUUUUGUUUCUUGUGGGAGCAUUUCCAUUUUUCUUACAUUCAUACAUAUGUGAAACUCAUGCAUAUCAGACUGCACCCUCACUUUGAUCUGCUGCCAUGGAGCCAUGCAAAGUGAGGACAGCCUAUAAAAUCUUACAUACUUAGGAAAAUAACAUGCAUGCCAUUUUCUUUGACACCUUUCCCUGCCUCUGAUCCCACUCUCAGCAUCUCAUGCCCAAUUCCCCAUUUCCCAGAUAAGCCAGAUUUUAAAAGUUAUGAGUGUCCUUCUUCAGUUUUUUCAUAAUAAUAUAUCCUAUACAAACACAUACAUGAGGCAGGUUCACAUGCACACACGUUCACACAGGACUUGCUUUUCUGGUAUCAUUUGUUUUAUAUACAAUUUUCUGCACCUUAAAUUAGUUACUGAAACAUUUCCUCAGGGAAUGGAGUGAUUUGCUCCAAGUAAUCCGAUGUGACUCAAUUUUUUAUGGUUGCACAAUAUUUUAUGGUGUGGCUGUAUCAUUACUUAUUCUGCCAUUUCCCUAUACACAGGGAAUUCUCUUUUUACCAGUUCUUGGCCACCACAAACAAUGCUGCAACAAACAUAAUGCCUUCAUGAACUAGAUACAUUUGUUUUUAUGCAAUAAACUCCUGGAAGUGCAAUGCUGGUUCUCAAAGGGUAUAUGAUAUUUUGAAUUUUAAUAGAUGUUACGUUCCCAGUUGUGUUUCAAGAAGGAUGUAAGGUGUCACAUUCCUUUAAGCAGUUAUAAAAGUGUCUUUCACUCACACCCUUGAGAACAAUGAGUUUGAGAGUUCUUUUUAAUUUUGCUAGUCUGAUAGGUGUAUGCUGAUAUUUUAUUGUUGCUGUACUUUGCAUUUCCCUGAUUACUAGUGAAUUUGAGCAUCUUUUCAUAUAGUCCCUAGCUAUUCAUUCUGUAAAUUGUCUAUUCAAACAUAUUGCCUAGUUUUCUAUUGCUUUUUCUGUCUUUUGUCAAUUAAUUAGAGCUCUGUAUAUUACAGAAAUUAACUUUUUGACAUCUGCAUUACAAAUAUUUUCCAAGAUCUAUUAUUUAUCUAUAGACUUCUUUAUGGAAAUAUUUUUUACACAAAAACCUUAAAUUUUUGUGAUGCUAGCUACAUGUUGAUUUUUGUGUUUGAUAUGACAAUAGAAACUAUUUUUUCUUCCAGAUAGGUAUGCAGUUAUGCCAAUGCCAUUAAUUUCCCUCUGAAAUGAACCACCACACUUGCCUUAUGUUAAAUUCUCAUUUAUUCCAACAUCUCUUUCUAGAUUGUCAAUUCUAUUCCACGGACCUACUUAUAUAGGCAGAAAUAAACCAUAAAAAGGGAACUAAUACAUCUUAACUAUUUGUAAAUAAGAACCACAGUCCCAGAUAACACCAGGAUCAAAGAGGAAAUUUAAAAAGAAAUUACUAUCUAGAAACAAGAAAAGGAGAAUUACUGAAAUGGGAAAAUCAAAGGAUAUAUGAUAAUGAAGUAUACGAUUAGAAUAGUCUGUAUUCUUAUAUAAAUACCAUUUUGGUUUUAUUACAAAGGCUUUACUGUAUAUAUUGUAGAGGAAGCAGAUUAUCUCUCAUUGUUCUCUUUUCUCAUAAUUUUCUUAGUUAUUCCUGAACAUUCUACCAUAUGAAAUUUAACAUGUUUUCAUCGAGUUCUAAAUAAAAACUCCAUCGAAUUUGAAAUUGAAAUUGAAAUAUGUUAUAUAUCAAUUUGGGGGGAUUGUCUUUAUUAUAUAAUCCUCCUAUCCAAGAAUGCAUUAUGCCUCUCUAUUUAGUCAGAUCUUACCUUAUGUCUUUUUAGUAAGAUAUUUUAGAUCUUUUCAUAGAGAUUCUGAGUUUCUACUUUUAAAUACAUUUGUCACUAUUUUUAAUGAUACAAUUUUUCCGUUCCCAUUACUAGGUGCUUAUUGCUAGAGUGGUGAAAAAUACUGAUUUUUAUACAAUUAUCUUAUAUCCAAAUUAAUUUAUUAAAUCCAGUAGAGUUUUAUCCCAAGAUUCCUUGAUAUAUAGGAAUUCUACUAUGUUAUCUUAUUAGUAGAAAAAAGAGAUGGUUUUAUCUAUUUGUCUUCCAAUGCUUAUGCCAGUUAUUUAAUUUUCUUGCCUUAUUACAUUGCUAAAACCGCCCAAGUAAUGUUAAGUAAUAAUGGUGAUUGUAGGCUUUCCUCUUUCUAGGGUUUUCUGUAAUUGAAGUUACCUUAGUGUCUUUCAUUUUAGGAUAAUAUUUACUGUUGGUUUUGAUAGUCUUUAUAUUCA
rnacentral:lncRNA from 10 species